CUGUGGAUUUGAAAGAGUUGCCCUAGCAGUCUGCUGGGCAAAAAAUCUUCUGGAUUUUCUGUUAUUUUCUGUUUUAGCAAGCUGUUGUUUUGGACGAGGGAGAAGUUAAAAAGCAUUCUCCUGGAUUUUGUAAAUUUGGGAGUAUUUACACACCACAGUGAAUUCUAGAGAUCUUCGAUACAGUGCGUGUUGCACUCUGCAAUCCUCAUCCAAAUUUCUGCCGUUACCAAGGACGUCUGGACCCCUGAAAUACUUGCAGAUUAAUAACACAACACCUGAAAGCUUUUCUACUGAAAACGUCAAAAUUUGCACUCC